rnacentral:rRNA from 1 species
GAAAGCCCCGACGGCGCGGGAUGGGGUCGCGGCCCAUUAGGUAGUAGGCGGGGUAGAGGCCCACCUAGCCGACGAUGGGUAGCCGGACUGAGAGGUCGAUCGGCCACAUUGGGACUGAGAUACGGCCCAGACUCCUACGGGAGGCAGCAGUGGGGAAUUUUGCGCAAUGGGGGAAACCCUGACGCAGCAACGCCGCGUGCGGGACGAAGGCCCUCGGGUCGUAAACCGCUUUCAGCAGGGAAGACCUUACGACGGUACCUGCAGAAGAAGCUCCGGCUAACUACGUGCCAGCAGCCGCGGUAAUACGUAGGGGGCGAGCGUUAUCCGGAUUCAUUGGGCGUAAAGCGCGCGUAGGCGGCCGCCUAAGCGGAACCUCUAACCCCGGGGCUCAACCUCGGGCCGGGUUCCGGACUGGGCGGCUCGAGUGCGGUAGAGGAGAGCGGAAUUCCCGGUGUAGCGGUGGAAUGCGCAGAUAUCGGGAAGAACACCGAUGGCGAAGGCAGCUCUCUGGGCCGUCACUGACGCUGAGGCGCGAAAGCUGGGGGAGCGAACAGGAUUAGAUACCCUGGUAGUCCCAGCCGUAAACGAUGGAUACUAGGUGUGGGGGGAUCCCCCCUCC